rnacentral:rRNA from 1 species
AUAAGCGGAGGAAAAGAAACCAACAGGGAUUGCCCUAGUAACGGCGAGUGAAGCGGCAACAGCUCAAAUUUGAAAUCUGGCUCUCGGGCCCGAGUUGUAAUUUGUAGAGGAUGCUUUUGAUGCGGUGCCUUCCGAGUUCCCUGGAACGGGACGCCAUAGAGGGUGAGAGCCCCGUCUGGUUGGAUGCCAAAUCUCUGUAAAGCUCCUUCGACGAGUCGAGUAGUUUGGGAAUGCUGCUCUAAAUGGGAGGUAUAUGUCUUCUAAAGCUAAAUACCGGCCAGAGACCGAUAGCGCACAAGUAGAGUGAUCGAAAGAUGAAAAGCACUUUGAAAAGAGAGUUAAAAAGUACGUGAAAUUGUUGAAAGGGAAGCGUUUAUGACCAGACUUGGGCUUGGUUAAUCAUCUGGGGUUCUCCCCAGUGCACUUUUCCAGUCCAGGCCAGCAUCAGUUUUCGCCGGGGGAUAAAGGCUUCGGGAAUGUGGCUCUCUCCGGGGAGUGUUAUAGCCCGUUGCGUAAUACCCUGGCGGGGACUGAGGUUCGCGCAUCUGCAAGGAUGCUGGCGUAAUGGUCAUCAACGACCCGUCUUGAAACACGGACCAAGGAGUCGUCUUCGUAUGCGAGUGUUCGGGUGUCAAACCCCUACGCGUAAUGAAAGUGAACGCAGGUGAGAGCUUCGGCGCAUCAUCGACCGAUCCUGAUGUUCUCGGAUGGAUUUGAGUAAGAGCAUACGGGGCCGGACCCGAAAGAAGGUGAACUAUGCCUGUGUAGGGUGAAGCCAGAGGAAACUCUGGUGGAGGCUCGCAGCGGUUCUGACGUGCAAAUCGAUCGUCAAACAUGGGCAUGGGGGCGAAAGACUAAUCGACUCAGUGGUU